GUGGGGAAUCUUCCGCAAUGGGCGAAAGCCUGACGGAGCAACGCCGCGUGAGUGAUGACGGCCUUCGGGUUGUAAAGCUCUGUUAUAUGGGACGAACGGGCAUGGGGCGAAUACCCUCAUGCAGUGACGGUACCGUAAGAGAAAGCCACGGCUAACUACGUGCCAGCAGCCGCGGUAAUACGUAGGUGGCAAGCGUUGUCCGGAAUUAUUGGGCGUAAAGGGCGUGUAGGCGGCCAGACAAGUCUGUCUUAAAAGUGCGGGGCUCAACCGCGUGAUGGGAUGGAAACUGUCGGGCUAGAGUGUCGGAGAGGAAAGCGGAAUUCCUAGUGUAGCGGUGAAAUGCGUAGAUAUUAGGAGGAACACCAGUGGCGAAAGCGACUUUCUGGACGACAACUGACGCUGAGGCGCGAAAGCCAGGGGAGCAAACGGGAUUAGAUACCCCUGUAGUCC
rnacentral:rRNA from 1 species